UUGCAUAACAUCAAGCUUAAUUCUUUGGUUUAUGAUACACAUGGAUUUUAAUAAUCUAUACUGUUCAAAUGCAUAAAAAAUGGGUUCCAGCUUAUGUGCUCAAUUAGAUUGCUUGUUAUUGUUAAUCUUUUUUUAGCACAUUAAAGUCAUCGUUGUUAUAUAUAAUUUGAGCAUAUUUAGUUUAUAAAAAGUUUAUGUUUUUUGUUUAUUUGCAUUAUUUCAGCUUCAUAGAUUAUCUUACUAGUGAAUAUAAUAGGAGUUAUCAUUACGAUUAUUUUAGAAUAGAAUAUUAAAAAAAAAAAAAAUUACCAUCAGCUAGCCUUGAAAGAAAAAGAAAUCCAAGAAUUACAAGAAGCCUUGAAGCUUAUCCAGAAAAAUAAAGUUGUGAUGGCAAAAAUACUAACACAAUCAGCCUAUGAAAAUCUUAUUGACGGAAUCCAAAAGAUGGAAGAAACAUUAAAGCAAAAAUAAAAAUAUGAAAACUUUUUCAGAAAGAAUGAAAGCAAAAAUUAAGUCUACAAAAGCAAGAAUGGAGCAGAUAAUUUCAAAGAACCUUUACUCGGAAGCUUUCAGCGCAUCCAAGGAAGACUUGCCCAAAGAUAUGUCGUUUUCACCAACUUUUCAAAAAGUAUCUAUCUUAAAAAAAAAAAAAAAAAAAUGGGGGAGAAAAAGAAAGGAAGAAGUCUUCAAAAAUCGGAAAGCAGAAGCUUUAUUGGAGUUUCAAAAAGAAGAUGCUAACUUUUUCAAAAAGCAGAUUCCACUAACAGUGUUAUCCUUAUCACUGUUAACUUUCAAAAAGGAAUAUUCCCACUGAUAGAGGAAAUAUUUUCUAUGACAGUUGUCUCUGUCAAAUAAUGUAAUUUAGAUUCACGGAUCUGAAAAAGAAAUUCUCUCUUGUAUAUACUUUGCUAUUUAAAUAGAGUAGGAGGGGAGUCUUGGGAGGAAGGAAGGAGUUUCUUCGGAAGUCUCUUUGUUUUCUUAGAGUCCUUGCAAAGAGUUCUACAGUCUUUUGAUAAAAUAUUUUCCAGAAGCAAUUUAAGAAAGUGAUUUUCUAUCUACAUCAUUCAUGUAAGUCCUCUUUCAUUUAUGUUUAGUUAUGUAAUUUGUUUUAUAGUAGCUUCUUCUAUUCUCAGAUCAAAGCCUACAAUCGUGUCUUUUGAUUCUGUGAAAUAGAUCUAGUUAAGCAGCCUUAUUAUUGUUAUGUUUAUAGUUAAACAUGAGUGAGUAAGUUCAUCUUAUCAAAAGAGUUAAGGGUGGAUGUGUGGUUAAGACAAGGGCAUUAUGUUUAUAUAAAUUUAUAAUUUAGAAUUGUAAAUUCUGAUGUUAUUCUUCCGAAAUGAUUGGAAGUGGGUUAAGGUUGAAGAUCUUUCUUAGGGAGUGAUUAGGACACUUGAACUCUGUAUUAUGUCAGGAGCAGUGGACUGAUAUAUAACUAGAGAGGAGUCUAAUUGAAACUUGCAUAGGACGCCAUGUCUAUACAACUCACAUCCUCACAGUGGGAUUCAACCGGUGAUACACGCACAGUAAUUUAGACCCAGUUCUUUUGAAAUGUUAACUCAAACAAUCUUUUUACUCUAGUGGAAUACUUAGCUAGGGACUACAAGUCUUCUAGUUCAUGUAGGACGCCAUGCCAACAUGAUUCAUAUCCUCACAUAGGGGUUCUGCUCACUGGGACUUAAAUGGCUUCCUUGCCUCAACGUCCAGAGCGUAAGUUCCUAUUCUUUUUUGAAUAUUACUAGAAGAGAUUGCAGUAUAAUCUUAAAGCUAUUUAGUCUGAAUGAGAGUAAGUACCGGUCUAGAUCUAGAGUUUUAGACUACUCUCUGGUUAUAUAUCAGUCCACUGUUCCUGACAUAAUACAGAGUUCAAGUGUCCUAAUCACUCCAUAAGAAAGAUCAACCUUAACCCACUUCCAAUCAUUUCGGAAGAAUAAUAUUAGAAUUUACAAUUCUAAAUUAUAAAUUUAUAUAAACAUAAUGCUCGUCUUAAUCACACAUCCACCUUUAACUCUUAUGUUAAGAUGAACUUACUCACUCAUGCUUGAUUAUAAACAUAACAAUAAUAAGGCUGCUUAACUAGAUCUAUUUCACAGAAUCAAGAGGCACGACUGUAGGCUUUGAUAUGAGAAUAGAAGAAGAAGCUGCUAUAAAACAAAUUACAUAACCAAAAAUAAAUGAAAGAAGACUUACAGGAAUGAUGUAGAUAGAAAAUCACUUCCUUGUAUUGUUUCUGGAAAAUAUUUUAUCAAAAGACUGUAGAACUCUUUACAUGGACUCUAAGAAAACAAAGAGACUUCCUAAGGAACUCCUUCCUUCCUCCCAAGACUCCCUUUCUACUCUAUUUAAAUAGCAAAGUAUAUACAAGAGAAUUUCUUUUUCAGAUUCGUGAAUCUGAAUUACAUUAUUUGACAGGGACAACUGUCAUAGAAAAUAUUUCCUAUCAGUGGGAAUAUUCUUUUUUGAAAUUGUUAACAGUGAUGAGGAUAACACUGUUAGUGGGAAUCUGCUUUUUGAAAAAGUCCGCAUCUUUUUCAGAUUCGUGAAUCUGCUUUUUGUUGCAUCUUCUUUGGCAAUAUUGCCAAAGGCUUGUUAUAUGAUACCCACAGAUUAUCUAAGAUAACCUGUUCGUCGGUGCCAAAGGCAGCAGAAAUGAUGCAACAAGCCUUUGGCAAUAUUGGAAUAAAAGAAGAAUAUAAAUAAGCCCCAGAACAUGAGAUUCAGUAUGGAAUAAGCUAUUUGAAGCCGAUAGAUGAACCUUAUAGGUUCAGAAGCAUGUAUAAAAUAGGUACCGAAGAGCAGGUUAUCUUAGAUAAUCUGUGGGUAUCAUAUAACAAGAUUUUGAAAGAUUCAUAUAAUAAGCAAAGAAGAGAGCAUUUUAUGACUAGCAUUAAUUGCUGCAGUUAUCAAUUUACCAAGAUAAAAGAAGCUAGAAAAGAAAAUUAUCCCUAUUAUGUUUUGGUUGAAGGACAUACGCCGGGAGUAUAUGAUAGAUGGACAUAAGUGAUACAACUUAAGAAUUAUCCCAAGCAUCCUUGGUUUAAAGGAUUCAAUAAAUUAGAAAAACUAGAUUAUGCUCGUCGUAAUCUGGGUCCACAUUUCUAUAUCAGAGAUACAAGUUUUAAAGAAGCAUUAAGUGUGAACAAUGUGAUACAACAAAUUUCAGAAUUGCAGAAUUACAGAAGAAUUGAGCCCCAGCUUAAAGAAGAGUUGCAGGUCACCAAAGAAAGGACAAUAUUACCAUCAACUAGCCUUGAAAGAAAAAGAAAUCCAAGAAGCCUUAAAGCUUAUCCAGAAAAAUAAAGUUGUGAUGGCAUCAACACCAACACCUCCAGCCUAUGAAAAUCUUCUUGACCGGAUCCAGCCAGAAGAUGGAAGAAACAUUAAAGCAAAAAAAAAAAAUAUGAAAAAGCUUUUUCAUAAAGAAUGAAAGCAAAAACUGAGUCUACAAAAGCAAGAAUGAAGCAGAUAUUUUCAAAGAACCUUUAUUCGGAAACUUCCAGCGCAUCCAAGGAAGACUUGCCCGAAAUACGUAAAGAAGAUAUGUCGUUUUCACCGACAACUUUUCUAUGUUAAAAAUAUACUAUCCAUUAUUCUUUGAAAUACUCUGGGUGCAUUUUUUAAUCCAAAAGACAUUACAUUCCAUUCAUAAUGUCCUUCAGUUGUUGUAAAGGCUUUUUCUUCCAUAGCUAUUUGAUGAAAGCCUGAUUUUAAAUCUAAUUUUGAAAAUAUUUUAGUUUUUUGUAUAAAUUGGAUUAAGAAAUUCUUUUGCGGUAAGUUAUAUGCAUCAUCUAUUGUAUUAUCAUUUAAUCUUUUCUAAUUUGUUACUUCUUCUUUUCUCACUUUCUUUCAUGACUAUCAUGGGUGCUGAUCUAUGUGGGCUAUUAGAUUCUCUUAUUAAUUUUAAUUCUAAUAAUUCUUUAAUAUGUAAUUUAAAUUGUUCUGAAUUUAUUGAGUGAUAUUUUGGUACUCCUGAAUUUAUUUUUAAAUUUGUAUUUAUGAUUUCUAACCUCAUUGUAGGUUUAUCUUUCUCCCAAUGUCUUAAAGGGUUUUUAUCUUGGAUUAUUUCUAUUUUUUCUAAUCUUUCUACCGCUUUCUUAGUACUAUUAGAAUUUUCUAAAACUGAUAGAAUUACUGAUGGAUUUAUUCCAUCAUUAAAAUCUGUUUGGUCUUGUUCUAGAUUAAUUUCUUCAGAUUCUUUAAAUUUUUCAUAAUUAUUAUCAUUUUCUUGGGUUAUUUCUCUAGUUAUUUUACACUGUCCUGGUAUUUCACAAGGACAUUCUUCAAAUAUUUUUUCAUUAUUUUUAGGUUUUGGAUAGGGUGGAUAGACUGGUGUUUAUGUUAUAUUUUUGAAUAUUAUAAUACUAUGUUAAUAUAUAAUCCUCCUGAUUGUGUUAAUAUGAAUUCUAAUCCUAAUAAUAUAUCCCAAGGACAUUUCCUUAGGUAUACAUCAUUAAGUGGAUAAUCUGUUGAAUAUUUAUCAUAUACAUCUUUAAAGCUUAUAGAGGCUGGUUUUAAGCUAUAUUUAUGUUCAGUUUCUAUUCCAUCUACUGAUGUUGCUGCUGUUGAAUUCUUAAUUUCUUCAAAAUCAUUUUGGUAAAAAAACUUUGGAUUUAUUAUAGAACUAGUACAUCUUGUAUCUAUUAUAGCUUGUAUCUAUUAUAGUUUUUAAGUAGACUAUUUUCUUAUUUAAUUUUAUUCUACAAAAUGUUUGUAAAUUAUUUAAACUGUUUUUUACCUGACAGAAUAUAAAUGUUUCUGUUGUUUCUAUUUCUGGUUUUUCUAUAGUGGCUAACACAUGAUGUUCUGUAUUGAGGUUACUACUACUAGGUCUAUCAUCUGUUGAUCCAAAUCCUCUUAUUCUUUUUAUAUGAGGUUCUUGUUCAUAGUUUGGGAAGAUAAUAGCUUGUGCUAAUUUUUGUCCUGUGUUUUGAUAGUAUGUGUUAUUUGAGUAUAAUUCCUUAUUAUUACAUGUAUAUUGUCUUUAUAAUCAGAGUCUAAUAUUCCUCCUAAUAUCAUCAGUCCUCUUGCUGUCAUACUCGAUCUUGUUUCUAAUUUUAUCCCAUAUUUUUCUGAAAUUGAAUAUCUUACUUGAACAUCUACUAUUGUAAUGUCAUUUGGUAAUAUAGUUAUUUCCAUAGGUGAAAAUAUAUCAUAUCCUAAAGAUCCUUUUGUUGAUUUUGCUGGUUUUAUUCCUCCAUUUUCAAUUAUCACCAUCCAUUCUAUUCUUGGUUCUUCCAAUACCAUUAGAUCAUGAUCUUCUUUAUUUUGUAAUUGAGCUUUUAGUAUGGUUAUUUCAUCUUCUAAUAUCUCAAUUUUCCUAGUAAUUAUUUUGUCUUGGACAAUUUCUAAUUUAUUUAAGCAGUUUAUAUCUUUCUUCAAAACACUUUUCACAUUGAUAUCUUACUGUUAUCCAAGGAUUUCUUUGACAUUUCUUACAUGCUAUAUCAUGUGAUCCUGAUCCAUUUUUUCAUCGAUGAUUAUCUUCUAUACAUGUAUUUGUUAAUGCACAUGUUUUCUAAAUAUUGUUGCAUUUCACUUGGUAUUUCUUCUUCUUCAUUUUCAUCCUCAAGAUUUGGAUUAAAUAUUUCUAUCGAUACAAUACUAUAAAUUGAUUCUGUAUCACUUAUAUCAUCUUCAACAUCUAUUAAACAACAUUUUGAAUCUUGUACUACUAGAGAUCUUUUUGUCCUCAUUUAUUCUUCUUGGACACUUUGAUGCCAAAUGAUCAUCUCUAUCACAUAUAAAGCACCUUAACUUCUUUUUAUCGAUUCUGUCUGGAUCAUACAUUCUAGCAUAAUGAUCUCUGUUUAAAAAUGGUCUUCUUGCAUCUGACCUUCUAAGGUAGUAUCUCUUCUGAGGUCUAUAAUUACUUCUUCUUUGAUAUCUAGGUCUAUAUUGUAUUCUUUGUGGUCUAGAUUUUAUACUUUGUUUUCUUCGAUAAAUAUCCUUAUCUUAUUUUCCAUAUAUUUGGGGAACAUAAAUAUCCUUACAAUUUUGUAAGGAUAUUGUUCUCUUUGAAAUUGUUGUUGGAUUUGUAUAGUUAUGCAUUUUUCUUUUAAGCAUUUUAUAAUAUGUAUUCUGAUACCUAUAUUAUCAUUUAUGGGAUGCCAUUUUUGUCUUAUUUCUUCUCCUAAUUGUCCUGGUUAUUUUUUAAAUAAUUUAUCCUUUACUGAAUGAGUAAAAUAAUUUCCACUUAUACUUGCAAAAUAAUAAUAUUCUUUUAAGAAAAUCUUUGCAUAUCUAUAAUUUGUUAAAAUUAAUCUUUCUAGCUGUGCUAAAGCUUCUGUCUGUUGUUCUAUUCUAGGACUGUUAGGGUCUUUCCCUGUUUCUAGCAUAUAUAUUUUGUUAACAAAAUUAUAUGGAUUUGGUCCAAAGGUUUUUAAUGUUCUUAUUUCAUCUGGAUAUUCUACCUUAUAUCUUUCCCAAUUUGCUUUCAUAGUUUCUCCUAAAAAUGUUUCUAAAUAUUGAUAUAAUUCAUUAACCUCCAUUGGUUCUUUAAACUGUAAACAGUCAUUUAUAACUUUACUUUUCCAAAUAUCAAGUACUGAAUCUAAUUUUUGGGGAUCAUGAUAUCCUAUGUUUAGUAUUUUACCAGAUUAUUUAUUAUCUGCAAAUGUUACUGGUUCUUCUAUUGGUAAUCUUUUCCCUCUAGGCUUAUAGUAUUUAAAAUCAUCUUUUAGUUGUCUUAACUCUGUUGGUUCUAAUUUCCAUCUUGGUUUAUUUUCCCAUGCCAUAUUUGGGUUAUUAGAUCAUAUGGUCUUGUAUUAUCGUAUCCGCCAUCAUUCAUUGCUUCUAUAUUUUGUAGUUCUGAUAUAUCAGAUGCUAGGCUAUCCGUGUCAUUUAUUUCUUCAUUGAUUAAUAGUCUAGGAUUUAUUUCACUAAUUUCAUCAUUGAUACUUUCAUUUUCUUCUUCUAUGGAUUUUCUUAUUAUAAAUCUAUCUCCUCUGUCAAUUAAUUCUUCAUCUUCUGUCAUUAUUCCUGAUUCUAUUGUUAAAUUUUCUAGUCUAAUUUUGUCGUCUUUAGUAAGUUCUAUUUCAUACUUUCUUUUAUACAAUAAUGUUCCUAUCAAUCCAUAUUUAUCAUGUUGUUUUAAUAUUUUAAUUUUUUUCUGUUAUUAUUCUAUCUUCUAUUACGGCUGAUGUGAUAUUCUGGUUUUCUAGAUCUCUUAUUAGUCUCUCUUUCCUCAUUAUCUAUAGUAUCUGCUGUACUACUUUCAGCUCCUGGUCUUGUUUCAUAAUCUAAAAAUCUCAAUCUGUAAUUAUUAUUACUAUCUUGGUAUAUUAAACUAUUCCUGGGUACAAAGACUGUAUUUGUUUCACUAUCCUCUGUAAUUUUACUUAUGUUUCACUAUCCUCUGUAAUUUUACUUAAAUUCCAUUCUUGUUGGGUCUAUUUCUGGUAGUAAUUUAGGCUCAGUUCUUUUGGAAUGUUAACUCAAACAGUCUUUUUACUUUGGGGAAUAAUUAGCCAGGGACUACAAGUCUUCUAGUUCAUGGAGGAUACCAUGCCAACAUGAUUCAUACCCUCACAUAGGGGUUCUGCUCACCAGGACUCAAACGGCCACCUUGCCUCAACGUCCAGAGCGUAAGAUCCUAUUCUUUUGGAAUAUUACUAGAAGAGGUUGUAGUAUAAACAUAAGGCUACUAGUACCAAUCUUGAUCGAGAGCUUUAGACUACUCUCUGGUUAUAUACCAAUCCACUACUCCUGAUAUAAUACAGAAUUCAAGUGUCCUAAUCACUCCCUAAGGAAGAUCUUCGAUCUUAACCCACUUCCAAUCAUUUCGGAAGAGUGGUACUAGAAUUUACAAUUUAAACUAUGGACUCACAUGUACAUAAUGCUCUUAUCUUGUCCUUUCAUCUGUCCUUAUACUCUUUUUAAUUCCUCUUAAUUGCUCAUAUUCCUGCUGUGCCUCUCUUUCUCCUCCCGCCUCUUUAUUUAGUGAAAGGUUUCGACAAAGAGCGACACAUGAAAAAAGAAAAACUUUUUUUUUUUUACUUUAAUUCAAGCUUGCAUCGGACGCCAUGCUUAUACAACUUACUUCACACUGGGAUUCAACCGGUGAUGCAUGCACAACAAUUUAGGCCCAGUUCUUUUGGAAUGUUAACUCAAACAGUCUUUUUACUUUGGGGAAUACUUAGCCAGGGACUACAAGUCUUAUAGUUCAUGUAGGACACCAUGCCAACAUGAUUCAUACCCUCACAUAGGGGUUCUGCUCACCAGGACUCAAACGGCCACCUUACCUCAACGUCCAGAGCGUAAGAUCCUAUUCUUUUGGAAUAUUACUAGAAGAGGUUGUAGUAUAAACAUAAGGCUACUAGUACCAAUCUUGAUCGAGAGCUUUAGACUACUCUCUGGUUAUAUACCAAUCCACUACUCCUGAUAUAAUACAGAAUUCAAGUGUCCUAAUCACUCCCUAAGGAAGAUCUUCGAUCUUAACCCACUUCCAAUCAUUUCGGAAGAGUGGUACUAGAAUUUACAAUUUAAACUAUGGGCUUACAUGUACAUAAUGCUCUUAUCUUGUCCUUUCAUCUGUCCUUAAUUCCUUUAAUUUUAGAGUACUACUCACUCAUGCUUAUUAUGAACAUAUUAAUAGUAAGAUUUGAAAAAAAAAAACUUACAGGAAUGAUGUGAAGAUUCAAAACUUCCUUGUAUUGCUUUCUGAUUUUUAAUAUCGAACUUCUUUUACAAAGACCCCAAAAACUUCCUAGGACUAUUUAUAAGAUCAAAAUUACAUUCAAAUGAAACUUCAUUCCAGAUUCAUGUAACUUGAAUCUGAAUUACAUAUCACUUUUGACAGGGACAGCUGUCAACAUACUUAUCUAUACAGAUUCCGAUAAUCUUUAUUUGGCAUAAUCCUUUUGGACAUUCUACGAGUAUGUGCCACGAUACUCUAUUUUUUCAAAAGAUUUUUCUUUUUAAAAGCUUCUUUUUGAAAGCUGUAGAUGAGAGGAUAAAAAUUCUUCAAUCGUCUUUACUUUAUGCUUCUGGCAAGUCCUUUUUAGAUGCGCUGGAGGCUUCUGAAUAGAGAUUCUUUGAAAAUAUCUACUCCAUUCUUGUCUUUGUAGAUUCGGCUUUUGCUUUUAUCAUCUCUGAAAAGACUUUUUCAUACUCUUCUUUUUUCUUUAAUGACUCUUCCAUCUUUUGAAUUGUGUCAAGAAGAUUCUCAUAUGCUGGUGGUGACAGUGUUGCUGACAUCAUAGCGUUAUUCUUCUGGAUAAGCUUCAGAGUUUCUUGUAAUUCUUGGACUUCUUUUUCUUUGGAGGCUAAGUGAUGAUAAUAUUUCUGUUCGUUUUCUUUGGUAACCUGCAAUUCUGUUUUAAGCUGCAACUCAUUCUUUUGUAAUUCUGCAAUUCUGGAGUUUGUUGUAUCACAUUGUUUACACUUAAUUAAUACUUCCUUAAAACUUGUAUCUCUGACCUUAGAUACUGGGAAUCUAAGGGCUGCUGCUAUAUAAAAAUUUGGACCAAGAUUACAACGAGCGUAAUCUAGUGCUUCUUCUAAUUUAUGGAACCCUUUAAACCAAGGAUGCUUGGGAUAAUUCUUGAGUUGUAAAACUUCUGUCCACCUAUCAUAUACCCCCGGAGUAUGUCCUUCAACAAGAACAUAAUAGGGAUAAUUUUCUUUUAUGGCUUCUUUUUAUCUUAGCAAAUUGAUAACUACAGCAAUUAAUGCUGGUCAUAAAAUGCUCUCUUCUUUGCUUAUUAUAUGGAUCUUUCAAGAUCUUAUUAUAUGAUACCCACAGAUUAUCUAAAAUAACCUGCUCUUUAGUGCCUAUUGUAUACAUAUUUCUGAACCCAAAGGGCUCAUCUAUCGGCUUUAGAAAACUUCUUCCAUAUUGAAUCCCAUGUUCAGGGGCUUCUUUAGAUUGCUUGUUAUUGUUGAUGUUUUUUGAAAACAUUAAAGUCAUCUUUGUUAUAUGUUUGGAUAGUUGUAAUUGGUGUUUAAUAAAUACCGCUUAUUUUGGAUUGGUAACUUCUUGCUUUUUAACUAGGCACAAUGGCUCCAAUUUUCAUGAUAAGUUAUUAUUAUUAUUAUUAUUUUUAUUAUUAUGCGGCAUAGUUUGGGAGCUAUAGGAGGGUCUUGGGAUAUGUUUGUAUUGGGUUGAGCGGCUCUGUGGUCCCUUGGUUAUUUCUUAUUCUCACGUAUGCUUUGUUGGUUGUACUUUGUUGUUAUGGGAGCAUUAUAUUAGUUUUCAUUAAUAGUGGUAUCAAUCUUUUGGGAGUUGGUUUGCAGGAUGUGAUUUGCGAUAUUUGAUGUAUGGUUGUUUGGAAGAGCUAGAUCAGCUGGGGUUUCAAUAAACAUAGUGAUUGGAUUGAUAUUUGAUUUAUUUGCACUAUGUUAUGAUUGAAAUUGAUACGCAGUAUUCAAAACAUAUGAAGCAUGGCUGUGGGGGAUGUUCGGAUGGGAAUGCAGAUUGGCUGUUUGUGAGGGAAGGGGGUUUCAUUUAUAUUUUUGAUUGGAUUUAUCUUAUUUUAUUUCUUGGUUUAGCAAGCUGACAUUGAUCUUUGAAAUUCCAUUCUUUAGGAACCGUUUGGAAUUGAAUGAAAGGUUAAGAGGGUGGGUGUAUAUGAGACGCAAAGUCUGGGUAAAGAAUCAUUCCAUUAGGAACUUCUCUCUAAUUAAUAUGUGAAUCUGUUAAUGUCCUAGUUUGUUUAAGAGGUUUUGAUGGAUUAGGGGCUUGAUUAUUUGGUUUAUAAUACACAUACAUCAUGAAUUGCAGAGAGAUGGAUCUUAUGAAGCUAGCUUUAUGAAUAAUGGGGUUCCUCUUAAUGACAUGCAGCAUCAUGUGCAUUGGGAUUGAAACUUAUGGAGUUAGGUUCAAGAAUAAAGACGUAGGUGGGAGGACUUUAGGAGGGGCUUUGGAUAUGUGGUUUUGGGUUGAGCGGUUCUAUGGUCCCUUGGUUAUUCCCUGUCACUUGUGUUAUUCCUUGUACUUUGUUGAGUUGUUUGAGUUUAUGAUGGCAGUCGAUAUUAGUUUUGAUUAAUCUUGGUUUAAUUUUGUUGGAGUUGGUUUGCAGGAUGUGAUUCAAAAUAUUUGAUGGAUGUUUGUUUGUAAGAGUAGAGGGUUUCAUUAAACAUAAUGAUUUGAUUGAUACUUGAUUUGAUGAUGUAUGCUUUGAUAAUAAUGUUACAUAGUUAAUUUCUUUUCAGAAAUUGAUAUGCAGCGUGCAAAGGAUACGAAGCAUCUCUUUGGGGGGUGGAGGUUUCAAUGCCCGGAUGGGAAUGCUGUUCUAUUGUUGCUUGUUUAAAGAGAUUGAUGAAAGGGGGUUUCAUAUAUAUUUUCGACUGUAUUUAUCUCUUUUAUUUUAUUUCCUGGUUUAGUGGUGUUUUAGUAGACCUUUAAUACCUUGGGUUUAUCUGCUUUAUUCAUUUAUAUUUUUUUAAGAUUUAUCUUUAUUUUAUUUCCUGAAGAAUGUUGAAGAAUGGGGAAUUGUGGAAUUCAAGAAUCUAAUAAAGACUUGAAGACCAUUAAACUGAGAUGCA